AUGAACGCUGGCGGCGUGCCUAAUACAUGCAAGUCGAGCGAACAGACGAGGAGCUUGCUCCUCUGACGUUAGCGGCGGACGGGUGAGUAACACGUGGAUAACCUACCUAUAAGACUGGGAUAACUUCGGGAAACCGGAGCUAAUACCGGAUAAUAUAUUGAACCGCAUGGUUCAAUAGUGAAAGACGGUUUUGCUGUCACUUAUAGAUGGAUCCGCGCCGCAUUAGCUAGUUGGUAAGGUAACGGCUUACCAAGGCAACGAUGCGUAGCCGACCUGAGAGGGUGAUCGGCCACACUGGAACUGAGACGCGGUCCAGACUCCUACGGGAGGCAGCAGUAGGGAAUCUUCCGCAAAGGGCGAAAGCUUGACGGAGCAACGCCGCGUGAGUGAUGAAGGUCUUCGGAUCGUAAAACUCUGUUAUUAGGGAAGAACAAAUGUGUAAGUAACUAUGCACGUCUUGACGGUACCUAAUCAGAAAGCCACGGCUAACUACGUG
rnacentral:rRNA from 1 species